rnacentral:lncRNA from 1 species
AGGGCCUCUCCCUGAGAGCAAGUGUUGUUGGAGAAUCAUGCACAUGCUACUUGCUGGUGCAAAAACAAGAGAGGAGCAUUCUCUUUCUACCUGAGACCAUGCUGCAUAAGUUUUAGGUCUUGAGUUAAAGAAGAAACACUUUCUCUAAACUGGAUGCAGUAACAGUGUAAUAACACUGUGUAUAGCCAGCAGUGCCCUUCAGGUUCAGUGUGAGAACUAUUCCACAUG